rnacentral:lncRNA from 1 species
AUCAACUUCCAAAAUAUUUCCCACCUGACUCCCUUCUCUCCUUUUUUUCAGCUACCACUGAAGUUCCAGAUGCCAUCUCCUCAGCCAGUUCCGUGCGAUGACCUCCCAACUCUUCUCCCUACUCCUGUAUCUAUAUCAACUACAGAUCAAAACAGCAUAAUGUUUGUAUAAUAUGAAUCAUAUCACUUUACUACUCUGGGUACAACCCUUCCCAUAGGACUUAGAAUAAUUUGAUUAUUAUCCAUAAACCCUAUGUAAUCUUACCUCUUCCUCUUUCCCCUGAUCAACUUUUUCUCAAGCUCUAAAUACAAGCGGACAAUAACCUCUUCUCUGCCCUGUCCCAUAGCACUUUGGAUAGGUGACAUCUUCUCAUUCUUUAAGCCUCAGUUUAACUGUCACCGUUUCCUUGCCCUAUCAUCUAAAGUGACCUGGUCAGACUUGGUGACAUUACCCCAGUAUUCCCUUCACUGCUUUUUCAUUGUCUGUUUGAUAUUUGUUCUUUUGGUUUUCAACCUGUCGUCCACAUCUAGAAGAAAAGCUCCAUGAAGACAGAACCUUGCCUGAUUCGUGUACCACUCCAGCACUCAACACCGAGCAAUGCCAGCCACAGGGUGGACUCUAAUAAAUAUUGAUAAUAUUGAUGAAUAUUGGAAUUGGCUCCACCUCUUCCUGGAUACCUUUCUAAAGUUACUUACUCUCCAUUGCCUUGGUUUCUCC